UGUCAGCCAAAGACCGAUGUGAGCCAUUAGGAGACGCACCAUCGUCAAGACUUGGAUCAAAUGAGAAUUUGCUCCCUGCACAUACAUUCACAAUUUAUUGCUUGUAUUAGUAUUUUGACGAUUCGCCGUCUGUGCAAAGAUUCAAACUUACCACCAAGGCCACCACCACUACUUGGAUCAACUGGCGUUGUACUUUCUCUGCCUUCCUCGACGAGAGCCAUAUCCCUUCGUUGUACUACCGAUUCGCGCAUCAUAUGCUGUGCUUCACUGAACUCUUCGCUACGUCGUCCAACCUGCAUAAGCAUAAUAUUAUAAUCACUUAAUAUGCUCGUUUUUAUAUUA